rnacentral:rRNA from 1 species
GACGAACGCUGGCGGCGUGCCUAAUACAUGCAAGUCGAACGAACCGCGACUAAGUGCUUGCACUAAGUCAAGGUGAGUGGCGAACGGGUGAGUAACACGUGGGUAACCUACCUCAUAGUGGGGGAUAACAGUCGGAAACGACUGCUAAUACCGCAUAGGACAUAGGAUCACAUGAUCCAGUGAGGAAAGGUGGCGCAAGCUAUCGCUAAGAGAUGGACCCGCGGUGCAUUAGCUAGUUGGUAGGGUAAAGGCCUACCAAGGCGAUGAUGCAUAGCCGACCUGAGAGGGUGAUCGGCCACAUUGGGACUGAGACACGGCCCAAACUCCUACGGGAGGCAGCAGUAGGGAAUCUGCCGCAAUGGACGCAAGUCUGACGGAGCAACGCCGCGUGAGUGAAGAAGGUCUUCGGAUCGUAAAGCUCUGUUGUUAGAGAAGAACAGCGCAUAGAGUAACUGCGAUGCGUGUGACGGUAUCUAACCAGAAAGCCACGGCUAACUACGU